rnacentral:rRNA from 1 species
UACGUAGGGCGCAAGCGUUGUCCGGAAUUAUUGGGCGUAAAGAGCUCGUAGGCGGUUUGUCGCGUCUGCUGUGAAAACCUGAGGCUCAACCUCGGGCUUGCAGUGGGUACGGGCAGACUAGAGUGCGGUAGGGGUGACUGGAAUUCCUGGUGUAGCGGUGGAAUGCGCAGAUAUCAGGAGGAACACCGAUGGCGAAGGCAGGUCACUGGGCCGCAACUGACGUUGAGGAGCGAAAGCAUGGGGAGCGAACAGG